rnacentral:tRNA from 1 species
AGGCGGAUAGCUCAGAGGUAGAGCGUUGGCCUUACAAGCCAAAGGUCGAGGGUUCGAGUCCCUCUCCGCCUACAA